CCAAUAGCGUAUAUUAAAGUUGUUGCAGUUAAAAAGCUCGUAGUUGAACUUCGGGAUCAAUGGAUUGGUCAUGCCGAUGGUAUGUACUGGUCAUAUUGGUUCUCACCUUCUAAGGAACCAUGAUGUCAUUCAUUUGAUGUUGUGGGGAAUUAGGACUGUUACCUUGAAAAAAUUAGCGUGUUUAAAGCAGGCUAACGCUUGAAUACAUUAGCAUGGAAUAAUGAAAUAGGACAUCGUAUUCUAUUUUGUUGGUUUCUAGGAUCGAUGUAAUGAUUAAUAGGGAUAGUUGGGGGCAUUAGUAUUCAAUUGUCAGAGGUGAAAUUCUUGGAUUUAUUGAAGACUAACUACUGCGAAAGCAUUUGCCAAGGAUGUUUUCAUUAAUCAAGAACGAAAGUUAGGGGAUCGAAGACGAUCAGAUACCGUCGUAGUCUUAACCAUAAACUAUGCCGACUAGGGAUCGGAUGAUGUUAAUUUUUUAAUGACUCAUUCGGCACCUUACG
rnacentral:rRNA from 1 species